rnacentral:lncRNA from 1 species
CUUCACCGGGACCUCAUUCAGGUCGCUGAGGCUCAGGUCCAGUUCGUUGCCGUCCAGCUUGUCGCGGAGGUUCCCGCCCUUGCUACCGGCCUUGGUCAUGGUAACGCCGGCUGAGCGGGCCCCGGCUCCGGGGUUCCGGCGGGUGAAAGGAGCUGAAAUGUCGCUUGUCAGUUCAGCGGCCCCCCACCCAAACGACGACGCCUGAGCCCUCCGUCGCCGCCGAUGCGAGACCGCCUCCGCCCGCUGGCCGCACUCCGAGCCUCGCGCCUAGCUCCCACCGGUGCCGCGACGACGACCACUUCCGUGUCCACGUCACCUUCCGCGACCACUGAGAUGGGCUGGGCCAGAGCGGCCCGAGCGUGUGCGGGCACGCCCCCUGGUGCCCAGGGUGAUGCACUGCACGUCGCCGCCGCCGGAGGGGUGGGGUUGGAGGCUGCGAGCUCGGUUCACGUUCACCCGUGGCCCGCGGGCAUUAUUGCUGGCAGUGCCACGAGGCGAAAGGGCACGGACUGGGCGCCAGAAGACUGGGUUGACAUCCAAUACUGACCUCAUCAGAUCACCCCAAUCCCCCUGAUUAGGAGCAGAAGCUGGGUGUCCUCUAAAACUGCUCCCUGUCCUCUACUUAACCCCCGAAUAACCAUCAUGGGGAAAACUCUUCUUCCUGAAUUUCUCCUCUCUCCUCCCCACUCACUGCCUCAGUGCUUGUCUCUGUCCUUCCAUCCACUUUCACCCAGCUCCCCGGUGAUCUUUCUAAAAAUCUGGCCAAGUCUCUCCCCUACGUAAAACCCUUCAAACUUGCAGCUACCUCUAGGAUACGGACCACUUUCCUUUGGAAGCUGGGUCCUGCCUGCUUUCGCAGCUUCCUCACACGCUCCAGUCCCUGCCUGGCCUAGAUGCUGUGUAGAUUUCCAGGAGGUGGCUCCCACGUCUGGCCCUCCCCAGCGAUGGCCCUCCCUCCCCCCCACUCACCUCUGUCUAGCUAAUUCCUUAGUCCUUCAGGAAAUCUCCCCUGAACACCGUGAAUGCCAGACUGAGUUAGCGCCCCCCCCAACCAACUUAGGUCCCUGUUUGCUACUUUAUCAUCAGAGACAGUAGAGCUUGAUGGCCAAGUGGGACCUCUGGCACUAAUACCUAUCCACUGGGUAUUCAUCCUGGCUCUGCCACUUGCUACUUAUAAAACCGUAGACAAUCACCAGGCUUCAGUCUUAUCUAUGAAUCAAUCUAUGAGACAUGUAGCUAACAGAGGUUGGGGAGAACUGAAGGAGUAAAACACACCAAGAGCUUACAGCAGUCACUGGCACUUAGUAAGUACCCAAUAAAUAUUAGCUACAAUUCAUGA